rnacentral:rRNA from 1 species
UGGGGAAUCUUGCACAAUGGGGGAAACCCUGAUGCAGCGAUGCCGCGUGAGUGAAGAAGGCCCUAGGGUUGUAAAACUCUUUCACCGAUGAAGAUAAUGACGGUAGUCGGAGAAGAAGCCCCGGCUAACUCCGUGCCAGCAGCCGCGGUAAUACGGAGGGGGCUAGCGUUGUUCGGAAUUACUGGGCGUAAAGCGCGCGUAGGCGGUUUGUUAAGUUGGGCGUGAAAUCCCGGGGCUCAACCCCGGAACUGCGUUCGAAACUGGCAAGCUAGAGUUCGGGAGAGGGUGGUGGAAUUUCCAGUGUAGAGGUGAAAUUCGUAGAUAUUGGAAAGAACACCGGUGGCGAAGGCGACCACCUGGACCGAUACUGACGCUGAGGUGCGAAAGCGUGGGGAGCGAACAGG